rnacentral:rRNA from 1 species
CAAUAGCGUAUAUUAAAGUUGUUGCAGUUAAAAAGCUCGUAGUUGGAUUUCGGGGCAGCCUGGCUGGUCCGCCGCAAGGCGAGUACUGGUCAGCCGCCCUUCCUCUCGAAAGCCCCGACUGCUCUUCGUUGCAGUGGUCGGGUAGUUCGGGACGUUUACUUUGAAAAAAUUAGCGUGUUCAAGGCAGGCCUACGCCUGAAUACAUUAGCAUGGAAUAAUGGAAGAGGACCUCGGUCCUAUUUUGUUGGUUUCCAGGGCCGAAGUAAUGAUUAAGAGGGACAGUUGGGGGCAUUCGUAUUUAAUUGUCAGAGGUGAAAUUCUCGGAUUUAUGAAAGACGAACAACUGCGAAAGCAUUUGCCAAGGAUGUUUUCAUUAA